rnacentral:rRNA from 1 species
AGACCCGAAACCCGGUGAUCUAGCCAUGGGCAGGUUGAAGGUUGGGUAACACUAACUGGAGGACCGAACCGACUAAUGUUGAAAAAUUAGCGGAUGACCUGUGGCUGGGGGUGAAAGGCCAAUCAAACCGGGAGAUAGCUGGUUCUCCCCGAAAGCUAUUUAGGUAGCGCCUCGUGAAUUCAUCUCCGGGGGUAGAGCACUGUUUCGGCUAGGGGGCCAUCCCGGCUUACCAACCCGAUGCAAACUGCGAAUACCGGAGAAUGUUAUCACGGGAGACACACGGCGGGUGCUAACGUCCGUCGUGAAGAGGGAAACAACCCAGACCGCCAGCUAAGGUCCCAAAGUCAUGGUUAAGUGGGAAACGAUGUGGGAAGGCCCAGACAGCCAGGAUGUUGGCUUAGAAGCAGCCAUCAUUUAAAGAAAGCGUAAUAGCUCACUGGUCGAGUCGGCCUGCGCGGAAGAUGUAACGGGGCUAAACCAUGCACCGAAGCUGCGGCAGCGACACUCAGGUGUUGUUGGGUAGGGGAGCGUUCUGUAAGCCUGCGAAGGUGUGUCGUGAGGCAUGCUGGAGGUAUCAGAAGUGCGAAUGCUGACAUAAGUAACGAUAAAGCGGGUGAAAAGCCCGCUCGCCGGAA